GAUGAACGCUGGCGGCGUGCUUAACACAUGCAAGUCGAACGAAGCAUUUAGAACAGAUUACUUCGGUUUGAAGUUCUUUAUGACUGAGUGGCGGACGGGUGAGUAACGCGUGGGUAACCUGCCUUGUACUGGGGGAUAGCAGCUGGAAACGGCUGGUAAUACCGCAUAAGCGCACAAUGUUGCAUGACAUGGUGUGAAAAACUCCGGUGGUAUAAGAUGGACCCGCGUCUGAUUAGCUAGUUGGUGAGAUAACAGCCCACCAAGGCGACGAUUAGUAGCCGACCUGAGAGGGUGACCGGCCACAUUGGGACUGAGACACGGCCCAGACUCCUACGGGAGGCAGCAGUGGGGAAUAUUGCACAAUGGAGGAAACUCUGAUGCAGCGACGCCGCGUGAGUGAAGAAGUAAUUCGUUAUGUAAAGCUCUAUCAGCAGGGAAGAUAGUGACGGUACCUGACUAAGAAGCUCCGGCUAAAUACGUG
rnacentral:rRNA from 1 species